rnacentral:misc_RNA from 1 species
GAUGAAGAACGUAGUGAAAUGCGAUACGUAGUGUGAAUUGCAGAAUUCAGUGAAUCAUCGAAUCUUUGAACGCACAUUGCGCCCUUUGGUAUUCCAAAGGGCAUGCCUGUUCGAGCGUCAUUUGUACCUUCAAGCUUUGCUUGGUGUUGGGCGUUUUUUGUCUCCCUCUUUCUGGGAGACUCGCCUUAAAACGAUUGGCAGCCGGCCUACUGGUUUCGGAGCGCAGCACAUAUUUUGCGCUUUGUAUCAGGAGAAAAGGACGGUAAUCCAUCAAGACUCUACAUUUUUAACUUUUGACCUCGGAUCAGGUAGGGAUACCCGCUGAACUUAAGCAUAUCAAUAAGCGGAGGA